rnacentral:rRNA from 1 species
GACCUCGGAUCAGGUAGGAAGACCCGCUGAACUUAAGCAUAUCAAUAAGCGGAGGAAAAGAAACCAACAGGGAUUGCCCUAGUAACGGCGAGUGAAGCGGCAACAGCUCAAAUUUGAAAUCUGGCUUCGGCCCGAGUUGUAAUUUGCAGAGGAAGCUUUAGGCGCGGCACCUUCUGAGUCCCCUGGAACGGGGCGCCAUAGAGGGUGAGAGCCCCGUAUAGUUGGAUGCCUAGCCUGUGUAAAGCUCCUUCGACGAGUCGAGUAGUUUGGGAAUGCUGCUCAGAAUGGGAGGUAAAUUUCUUCUAAAGCUAAAUACCGGCCAGAGACCGAUAGCGCACAAGUAGAGUGAUCGAAAGAUGAAAAGCACUUUGAAAAGAGGGUUAAAUAGCACGUGAAAUUGUUGAAAGGGAA